AUUGAACGCUGGCGGCAGGCCUAACACAUGCAAGUCGAGCGGAUGAAGGGAGCUUGCUCCCUGAUUUAGCGGCGGACGGGUGAGUAAUGCCUAGGAAUCUGCCUGGUAGUGGGGGAUAACGUUCCGAAAGGAACGCUAAUACCGCAUACGUCCUACGGGAGAAAGCAGGGGACCUUCGGGCCUUGCGCUAUCAGAUGAGCCUAGGUCGGAUUAGCUAGUUGGUGAGGUAAUGGCUCACCAAGGCGACGAUCCGUAACUGGUCUGAGAGGAUGAUCAGUCACACUGGAACUGAGGCACGGUCCAGAUUCCUACGGGAGGCAGCAGUGGGGAAUAUUGGACAAUGGGCGAAAGCCUGAUCCAGCCAUGCCGCGUGUGUGAAGAAGGUCUUCGGAUUGUAAAGCACUUUAAGUUGGGAGGAAGGGCAUUAACCUAAUACGUUAGUGUUUUGACGUUACCGACAGAAUAAGCACCGGCUAACUUCGUG
rnacentral:rRNA from 1 species